AUUGAACGCUGGCGGAAUGCUUUACACAUGCAAGUCGAACGGCAGCACGGGGGCAACCCUGGUGGCGAGUGGCGAACGGGUGAGUAAUACAUCGGAACGUGCCCAAUCGUGGGGGAUAACUACGCGAAAGCGUAGCUAAUACCGCAUACGAUCUACGGAUGAAAGCGGGGGAUCGCAAGACCUCGCGCGAAUGGAGCGGCCGAUGGCAGAUUAGGUAGUUGGUGGGGUAAAGGCNCACCAAGCCGUCGAUCUGUAGCUGGUCUGAGAGGACGACCAGCCACACUGGGACUGAGACACGGCCCAGACUCCUACGGGAGGCAGCAGUGGGGAAUUUUGGACAAUGGGCGCAAGCCUGAUCCAGCCAUUCCGCGUGCAGGAUGAAGGCCCUCGGGUUGUAAACUGCUUUUGUACGGAACAAAAGCGCUGAGUUAAUACCUCGGCGUCAUGACGGUACCGUAAGAAUAAGCACCGGCUAACUACGUGCCAGCCGCCGCUGUAA
rnacentral:rRNA from 1 species